AUAUUGCGCAAUGGAGGGAACUCUGACUCUGCUACGCCGCGUGAGCGAUGAAGGUCCUCGGAUCGUAUAGCUCUGUCCUCAGGGAAGAAGGUCUUUUGACUUGCCGGUACCUGUCGCGUAUUCCCCGGCUAGCUACGUGCCAGCAGCCGCGGUAACACGUAGGGGGCAAGCGUUGUCCGGAAUUAUUGGGCGUAAAGGGUGCGUAGGCGGCCUUUUAAGUCAGAUGUGAAAGACAACGGCUUAACCGUGGGAUUGAAUUUGAAACUGGAGGGCUUGAGUAUCGGAGAGGGUAGUGGAAUUCCCAGUGUAGAGGUGAAAUGCGUAGGUAUUGGGAGGAACACCAGUGGCGAAGGCGACUACCUGGACGAAAACUGACGCUGAUGCACGAAAGCUAGGGGAGCAAACA
rnacentral:rRNA from 1 species